rnacentral:rRNA from 1 species
AUGUUGCACACCACUCCGAUCUUGACGGAGGCCAAGCGGCACGACGCCGCGGGCAAGAAGGCGGUCGCCCUCACGGCCGCGAUGAGGCGCUCGGGGCCCAAGGGGCGCGGCAGCGGAGGGGGCGAGGCGGAGGGGAAGGCGGCCGUCGCCGUCGACGGCGACAAGAGCAGCCAGCACGCGCUCAAGUGGGCCGCCGACCACGUCCUCUCCCGCUCCCAGCCCUUCUUCCUGGUCCACGUCCGCCGCAAGAACACCGCCCUCAACCCCGCCGGUGGGAAGCAGUUCUCCACGUCGCACGUGCAGGAGGAUGUCGCGGCCUGUUUUCUUGCCCAGCUGGAUCUUCAGACCAAAGAGCUGAUGCUGCCUUUCCAAUGCUUCUGCAGCAGAAGAGGGUUGCAAUGCAGGGAUGUCAUUCUUGAUGGAACAGAUGUGUCAAAAGCUAUUGUGGACUUUGUUGUAAAAUAUAAUGUUGACAAGAUUGUGCUGGGAGCAUCAUCUAAGAGUGCAUUUGCAAGAACAAUUUGGAAAAUGGAUGUGGCUACAUCUGUUACAAAAAUUGCACCAAACUUCUGUUCGGUGUAUGUGAUUGCAAAAGGAAAGUUGUCUACUUUUAGGCCAGCCACUCAUGCAAUCGACAAUGAUACAAGCAAAGAGGAUACGAAAUCUGAUGCACCUGGCAAUGGGCCUUUAGCUGUACAAAGUGAACCAACACCCAAGUUCCCUGGAGAAGAACCUUCUUACAGGCUGAUGUCGACACACGCUGCUGCGCACAUCGGUACCCAUUUUGAUGAAGCAGCACAACAUGGCAACCUCAAGACACUAGUUCGACAGAAAAGUGCCGAUUCACAUCUUUCAAAAACAUCUUCAUGUCCAAGUGAAUUCAUAAGAGUUGUGAAUAAACAAGGCAAUCAUUUGUCUCCAGAAUAUCCUGAGAAUCGUAGAGAAACCUUGUUUUUGCUAAAUAAGGACAAUGAGCAUCCAUUCCAGGCUCCACAUGAAGAAUACUUGGGCAUUGAUGAUAAUGCACUUAGUCUUGAAUAUAAUGCCUAUGGCUCUUUAACCCCAACUGGAGAAUGUGCUUCAUCAGCUUCGAACUAUCAAGCAGAUGAUGUGAAAGCUGAUCUGAGGCAAUUUCAGAAAAGGAAUGGCAAUAUGCUUCGGAACUACAAAGAGUUACCUCUUGGGACCGAAGAUGGGACAGAAAACUUGCAUGCGGUUUAUGAACGAGAAGAUGGUCCUUUACUUGGCAGACAAGGUGCCAAACCGAAUUCAGCGGCUCGUGGCCCAAAGCAAAACCUAUUGACACUUGAAACUUUAUCUUCCGACCCUCAGCAUAGAGAAAGAAUCACAGAGGAAUUUAUGGAUCACAGUGCCCAGAAACAAGUUAACCCAAUGUUGCGACGUUUGCCUCCAAAAAUUUUCUCACCUCGAAAUGAUAGAUAUGCACCUGCUCCAGAGGAGAAACAUAAACUUGAACUGAACAGCAAACCCUUGCCAAGGCCAAUUGAGACUAAAAGAAUACUAGAGUGUCUCCCUACUAGAUUAGAGUGCAGAUUGUAUAAUCCAAAGGAAAUCGCGAAGGCGACCAAUAAUUUCUCAGAAGACCUGAAGGUUGGGGAAGGAGGUUAUGGACCAGUCUAUAAAGCUACACUUAAUAAUACCCCUGUUGCAGUCAAGAUUCUUCACUCCAAUGUAACUCAAGGCCUGAAACAGUUUCAACAGGAGAUUGAUCUGCUGAACAACCUUCGGCAUCCCAACAUGGUACAACUAGUGGGUGCUUGUCCCGAGUAUGGUUGCCUAAUAUACGAGUACAUGCCGAAUGGUAGCCUCGAGGACCGGCUCUAUUGUCGUUCAAACACUCCGCCACUGCCAUGGCAGCUCCGUUUCAAGAUUUCAGUGGAGUUAGCCACUGGCCUGCUCUACCUACACCAAAUGAAGCCUGAAGCCUUUGUUCACCGAGACCUCAAGCCUGGGAACAUCCUCCUUGGCGAAGAUUUUGUCUGCAAGAUCGCCGAUGUUGGUCUCGCCCGCAUCAUCCCCCGAUCGAUGGAUGACACAAAGACGCAGUACCGGAUGACCGACGCAGCGGGGACCUUUUGCUACAUUGAUCCUGAGUACCAGAAGACGGGACUGGUCAGCACAAAAUCUGAUGUGUAUGCCCUCGGCAUUAUCUAUCUUCAGAUGAUCACCGCAAAGGACGCCAUGGGGCUCGCCUACGCUGUAUCUGAUGCACUGGAAGAAGGGACCUUUGAGGAUCUCUUGGAUAGCAGAGUGACUGGCUGGCCGGUGGAGGAGGCGAAGAGGUUUGCCGAGCUUGCACUGAAAUGCUGCGAGCUGCGGCAUAGAGACCGCCCCGAUCUGGAAUCUGUUGUGCUGCCUGAGCUAGUCCGUCUGCAUGCACUAAGUGUGCCAUCUGAACAUCCUUCCGUGGACCAAUCCCAUCAGCGUUCAGCCAGUGACAAGGAAUGCAGGAUUUAA